rnacentral:rRNA from 1 species
AUGGUCUUCAAGCUGGAUUUCAGAAAAGCUUUUGAUUCCAUCUGCUGGUCCUCCCUCCUUCAAAUCCUACAAGCUCGAGGUUUCCCCCCACUUCUCUGCUCAUGGGUCCACAAAAUUCUCUCCACUGGCAAAACGGCCGUCCUCUUAAAUGGCAUUCUGGGGCCAUGGAUACAAUGCCGAUGCGGCUUACGACAAGGAGAUCCCUUCUCGCCA